UGAAAUGUUUAGGACCACUCG
rnacentral:miRNA from 1 species